GACGAGGUGGCCGAGUGGUUAAGGCGAUGGACUGCUAAUCCAUUGUGCUCAGCAUGCAUGGGUUCGAAUCCCAUCCUCGUCG
rnacentral:tRNA from 2 species